rnacentral:rRNA from 1 species
UACGUAGGGUGCAAGCGUUGUCCGGAAUUAUUGGGCGUAAAGAGCUCGUAGGCGGUUUGUCGCGUCUGCUGUGAAAACCCGAGGCUCAACCUCGGGCCUGCAGUGGGUACGGGCAGACUAGAGUGCGGUAGGGGAGUGUGGAAUUCCCGGUGUAGCGGUGAAAUGCGCAGAUAUCGGGAGGAGCACCAGUAGCGAAGGCGGCACUCUGGGCCGGUACUGACGCUGAGGAGCGAAAGCGUGGGGAGCAAACAGG